CUGCGAGUUCGCGGGAGAGUAAGUUAUUGCCAGGGUUUUUAUUUUAUACUUUAAACAUUGAUUUUAUUUUUUAUGUUUUUAGAUGUUCAUGUUUUUGAAUGUUUUAUUUAAAUAAUAUAAAAAAUAAAAUAUAUAUUGACAUGGAUUAAACAAAGAUAUAUAUUAUUCUAUGUUCNAUAAACAAAUUGGCAAAAUAGAGAUGGAAGAUAAAAAUAUGGUCAAAGUAAUAAGAGUCUAUGGUGAAUGCCUAGGA
rnacentral:misc_RNA from 1 species